rnacentral:rRNA from 1 species
GAUGAACGCUAGCUACAGGUCUUAACACAUGCAAGUCGAGGGGCAGCAUGAACUUAGCUUGCUGAGUUUGAUGGCGACCGGCGCACGGGUGAGUAACACGUAUCCAACCUGCCGAUGACUCGGGGAUAGCCUUUCGAAAGAAAGAUUAAUACCCGAUGGCAUAGUUCUUCCGCAUGGUAGAACUAUUAAAGAAUUUCGGUCAUCGAUGGGGAUGCGUUCCAUUAGGUUGUUGGCGGGGUAACGGCCCACCAAGCCUUCGAUGGAUAGGGGUUCUGAGAGGAAGGUCCCCCACAUUGGAACUGAGACACGGUCCAAACUCCUACGGGAGGCAGCAGUGAGGAAUAUUGGUCAAUGGACGAGAGUCUGAACCAGCCAAGUAGCGUGAAGGAUGACUGCCCUAUGGGUUGUAAACUUCUUUUAUACGGGAAUAAAGUGAGGCACGUGUGCCUUUUUGUAUGUACCGUAUGAAUAAGGAUCGGCUAACUCCGUGCCAGCAGCCGCGGUAAUACGGAGGAUCCGAGCGUUAUCCGGAUUUAUUGGGUUUAAAGGGAGCGUAGGCGGACGCUUAAGUCAGUUGUGAAAGUUUGCGGCUCAACCGUAAAAUUGCAGUUGAUACUGGGUGUCUUGAGUACAGUAGAGGCAGGCGGAAUUCGUGGUGUAGCGGUGAAAUGCUUAGAUAUCACGAAGAAUUCCGAUUGCGAAGGCAGCCUGCUGGACUGUAACUGACGCUGAUGCUCGAAAGUGUGNGUAUCAAACAGG